UUACCAAGAUCCUGUGCACUUCAGAAGUCAUUACAACUUCCAAUGAAGUGUCCUUUAGAAAUGGAAUAUGAGUUGCAGACAUUUAUUGCAGGUUGAAGAACAAAUUUUACAGAAAGAUGGGAUGUUAGGAGACAUCUGGAGACCCAUGAGUCUUACAGGAUCAUCCCACAGAAGGAACCCCCAAGGCUCAGAUCAGGAUGCAGCUCACUUAUGUAAGGGAGGAAUGCCCUGUAUGUUAGAAC
rnacentral:lncRNA from 12 species